CACUGUCUAAUUAAAACAAAGCAUUGCGAUGGCCCUCGCGGGUGUUGACGCAAUGUGAUUUCUGUCCAGUGCUCUGAAUGUCAACGUGAAGAAAUUCAAGCAAGCGCGGGUAAACGGCGGGAGUAACUAUGACUCUCUUAGGGGCGAUACGCAUUCUUUUAUUUUCCUAUUAAAAUCUAGUCGUCUUAAUCUGGUGACCAGUGGCGCGGUCACCAGCAUAGUGCACAGGAUGUGGAUGGCUCCGAGGCUGGCGAAGUCACUCACUAUAAGUGUGAGAGACGAUGUCCUGUGCCAAGUAUACGUCCAACCCUAACAGCCUGGCCACGGGACAUUCGCCGAUGCGAAUAUUCGCGCGGUGCGAACGGCGAAGCGUCUAGCGACUAAAACAAGCGCAUAGAAAUGUACCUAACAAGCCACGCGCACCGGCGACCGGCGAAGCGACCGGCGAAAUGUACCGAGCGAAUCGCGCGAUGCGGCGGGCGAGCAAAACAAAUGCAUGAAUACGGACGGCGCGAGCCACGGAGUCGAGCGGUAGUCGCGGCGAAUAGUGCAGUGAUUAAAUGAGUUUAG
rnacentral:ncRNA from 1 species